rnacentral:rRNA from 1 species
UACAGAGGUCUCAAGCGUUGUUCGGAUUCAUUGGGCGUAAAGGGUGCGUAGGUGGCGUCGUAAGUGGGGUGUGAAAUCCCGGGGCUUAACCCCGGGACUGCAUUCCAUACUGCGGUGCUUGAGGACUGGAGAGGAGACUGGAAUUUACGGUGUAGCAGUGAAAUGCGUGGAGAUCGUAAGGAAGACCAGUGGCGAAGGCGGGUCUCUGGACAGUUCCUGACACUGAGGCACGAAGGCCAGGGGAGCAAACGGG